UACGGAGGGUGCAAGCGUUGUCCGGAAUCACUGGGCGUAAAGGGCGCGUAGGCGGCUCAUGAAGGCUGUGGUGAAAGUCCGGGGCUCAACCUCGGAUCGGCCGUGGCGACUCGUGGGCUGGAGCACUGUAGAGGCGGGUGGAAUUCCGGGUGUAGCGGUGGAAUGCGUAGAGAUCCGGAAGAACACCGGUGGCGAAGGCGGCGACCUGGUCCGACACUGACGCUGAGGCGCGAAAGCGUGGGGAGCAAACAGG
rnacentral:rRNA from 1 species